rnacentral:rRNA from 1 species
AUUAGAUACCCUAUUAUUUUUAGUGUAAAUUUGGUUAAAGGCCUGAGUAUUAGUAGUUAUGAUCUUAAAACUUAAAGAAUUUGGCGGUAGUAUAGUCUAUUUAGAGGAAUCUGUUAUGUAAUCGAUAGUCCACGUUGAACCUUACUUAUAUAAUAUUUCUUGUAUACCGCUGUUUAUGAAUAUACUUUAAGGUUAUUUUCUGGAUAAGCUAAUAAUUAAAAUUUCAAGUCAAGGUGCAGUAAUAUAUAAGAGAUAAGAUAAUAAAUGGAUUACAAUAAAUUUUAUUUAUACGGAAAGUCAUUGAAAUAGUGAUAUUGAAGGUGGAUUUAAUUGUAAUUUUUAAAAGAGUAUAAAAAUGAUCAAAGCUCUAUAAUGCGUACACAUCGCCCG